rnacentral:piRNA from 1 species
UCAUCUCGAUGUGUGGGAUCG